CAUACAUACACACAUACAUACAUACACACACACACACAGUUAGGUCCGCAAAUAUUUGGACAGUGACACUGUUUUCAUCAUUUUGGCUCUGUACGGCACCACAAUGGAUUUAAAAUGAAACAACUAAGAUGCAACUGAACUGCAGACUUUCUGAACAAAAAUAUCAUAUGAAACGUUUAGGAAUCGCAAGCAUUUAUAUACACGGUUCCCUUAUUUCAGGAACUCAAAUGUAACUGGACAGAUUAACAUAAUCAUAACUAAAAUGUUCAUUUUUAAUACUUUGUCGAGAAUCCUUUGCAGGCGACGACUGCUUGAAGUCUGGAACCCAUGGACAUCACCACACGCUGGGUUUCCUCCUUUCUGAUGCUUUGCCAGGCCUUUAAUUCAGCUGUCUUCAUUUGUUAUAUGUUCGUGGUUCUUUCUGCCUUAAGUUUUGCCUGCAGCGAGUGAAAUGCAUGCUCGAUCGGGUUGAGAUCAGGUGACUGACUUGGCCAUUGCAGAGUAUUCCACUUCUUUGCUUUAAAAAAUUCCUGGGUUGCUUUCGCAAUAUGUUUUGGGUCACUGUCCAUCUGUAAAGUGAAGCGCCGUCCAAUUAACUUCACUGAAUUUGGAUGUAUCUGAGCAGACAUUAUAUUCCUACGUGCUUCAGAAUUCAUCCGGCCGCUUCUGUCUUCUGUCACAUCAUCCAUAAACACUAGUGACCCCAGUGCCACUGAAGCCAUGCAUGCCCAUGCCAACACACUUGCUCCACCCUGUUUCACAGAUGAUGUGGUAUGCUUUGGAUCAUGAGCUGAUCAUGAGCUGUUCCAACCCUUUUCCAUACUUUUUUCUUCCCAUCAUUCUGGUACAUGUUGAUCUUAGUUUCAUCUGUCUAAAAAAUGCUUUUCCAGAACUGCCUUUUUUUUUUUUUUUUUAGAUGUUUUUUGGCAAAGUCUAAUCUGGCUUUUCUAUUCUUUAGGCUUAUAAAUGGUUUGCUCUUUGUGGUGAACCCUCUGUAGUUGCUCUCGUGAAGUCUUCUCUUUAUGGUAGACUUGGAUAAUGAUAUGCCUACCUCCUGGAGCGUGUUCUUCACUUGGCUGGAUGUUGCGACGGGGUUUUUCUUCACCAUGGAAAGGAUCCUACGAUCAUCCACCACUGUUGUCUUCCGUGGACGUCCAGGCCUUUUGUGUUGCGGCGCUCACCACCUAAGGAUGGCCCGUUUCACUUGCAUUGAGAGCUCCUUUGACCACAUGCUGAAGGUUCACAGCGACAGCUUCCAAAUGCAAAUGCCACACCUGGAAUCAACUCCAGACCUUUUCACGUACUUAGCUGAUGAAAAAAUAACAAAAGGAAUCGCCCACACCUGUCCAUGAAACAGCUUUUGACUUAACUGUCCGAUUACUUUUGGUCCCUUGAAAAAGAGGGGGCUACAUAUUAGAGCUGUAGUUCCUAAACCUUUCCUCCAAUGUGGAUGUGAAUACAUUUAAAUUAAAGAAGAGAGACUACACUUUAAGCCCAUGUUCAUUAUUUAACUGUUUUGGUAGACAAAUAAAAUAACUAAACUUG